GCUACAUCCCCCGUUCAUCAACACACAGACCGAGAAGACCCCUCUGUCUGCCCUGCCCCUGCCAUGAGUGUCAGCCUCCUGUGCUGUGUGGCUUCUUAUCUCCUGCAGGCAGGUCUGGUGGAUGCUGGUGUCACUCAGAACCCAAAAUUCCAGAUCCUGAAAACAGGACAGAAAGUGACACUGACCUGUGACCAGAAUAUGAGCCACAACUACAUGUGCUGGUAUCGACAAGACCCGGGCCACGGGCUGAGGCUGAUCCAUUACUCAAUCGCUGCUGGGACCACCAACGAAGGAGAUGUCCCCGAGGGCUACAAUGUCUCCAGAUCAAACACAGAGAACUUCCCCCUCACGCUGAAGUCAGCUACCCCCUCCCAGACAUCUGUGUACUUCUGUGCCAGCAGUUACGCCACAGCGCUGCACGGCCGCCUCCUCUCUGCACAAAAAGGCAGGGGGAGGCCCAGCGUCCUGGACCCAGUGAAGCCUGUGCAGCCUCAACUCCUGCUCUGGGAGUCUCAGAGCCCUGAACGGCCUGUCAUGCAGAGUGAAACUCGGUGA